rnacentral:rRNA from 1 species
AGCAGCCGCGGUAAUUCCAGCUCCAAUAGCGUAUAUUAAAGUUGUUGCAGUUAAAAAGCUCGUAGUUGAAUUUCGGGGUCAGCAAGUUGGUCGUGCCACUGGUAUGCACUGGCUUUGCUGAUUCCUCCUUCUUGUAGAACCGUAAUGCCAUUAAGUUGGUGUUGCGGGGAAACAGGACUGUUACUUUGAAAAAAUUAGAGUGUUUAAAGCAGGCUAACGCUUGAAUACAUUAGCAUGGAAUAAUGAAAUAGGACGACGAUCCUAUUUUGUUGGUUUCUAGGAUUGACGUAAUGAUUAAUAGGGAUAGUUGGGGGCAUUAGUAUUCAAUUGUCAGAGGUGAAAUUCUUGGAUUUAUUGAAGACUAACUACUGCGAAAGCAUUUGCCAAGGAUGUUUUCAUUAAUCAAGAACGAAAGUUAGGGGAUCGAAGACGAUCAGAUACCGUCGUAGUCUUAACCAUAAACUAUGCCGACCAGGGAUCGGAUGAUGUUAAUUUUAUAAUGACUCAUUCGGCGCCUUAA